CCGCACCUCCCGCACACGUAACGAGGUGCGGUGACGGCGCCCGUCGCCACCAGUGACCUGGAAAGUUCUGGGCUCAGUCCCUGACCUUGCUUUCCCUUCUGGAGAAGCGCACAGUCACAGUGCCAGGCGAUGCCCGACACUGGAAGGCUGCUGUGAGGCCUGAACACAACCUUCUCUCCUCGGGGCUGAACAACCCAGCUCUCAGCCUGUCCUCACACGGGAGGUGUUCCAGUCCCCUCACCAACUUCGUGGCAUCCUCUGGACUUGCUCCAACAGCUCCAUGUCUUUCUUAUAUCAGGGGUACCAGAACUGCGUGUCAUAUUCCAGUGGGGAAUCCUCACUACAGCAGAAGAUCUGGAUCUGGAAGAGCAUUCAAGAAUUGUUGGAAUCUUCCUUUGAUACCAUCUGGACUUUUACUGCUCACUAAAUGUCAAAAACGGCUUUUGAAAAAGUAUAGAUUGGAAACCAAAAUUUCCACUGACUCCAGGACUUAGGAGUAAACAGGAGAACCUGCUUUGUUGUUGUAAGGCCAGUGGAGGGAUCUUGUGGAGAGUGCUGGGAAGCAGGGUGAUAAAGCACUGAAUAUGUUCUGUUCCCUCAGUCAUCAAAUCCUCCCUGAGUGACUCAUUCCAUGUGAAUUUUGUAUUCCUUACAACAGCCAAAAGCAAGUCACUCUAGGGAAAUAUGACAAUAUUUGGUUGUUGAGUAUUCUCUUUGCUUCCAGUAGCUGAAGGACUUUCCAAGCUCUGAGGGGCAUAACCAUAGUUUGAUUUCUCUUCCAUGAAUCUAACCUUGACCCCAUGUAAAUUUUAGGCAUCCAUAACAUUUUGGUGUGAAUAAAACUUAGUCCCUAAAUAUCUAGAACUAAUCAAUCCUUUAAGCAGUUUUAUUGACUUCUGAACUCUCACAGCAGCACUUAAUUUGACAAUUAAUUUAAUUUACCUCCUUCCAGUGCUAGUAUCUUUACUCAAAGCAGUGCACAAGAUUUUCCCAUCACUUGAAUUCUUCAUUAGGUUCAAUGCAUGACAUGAAAUAACAAUAUGCAGGAGGCUCUACAGCAAGAUCAGUGAUAUGGUGAGGGCUGAAAGAAAUUGGAUCAGGAGGGUUUAAAGAUGAAUUAAGGAAGAAAUGGGCACAAUACAGAAAGCGAGUGACUUUACUCCAGUUGUUGAUGUUGAGAUGAAAAGUAAGAAUACAGAUAUAAGAAUAUAGAUAAAACUUCACAGUAAAAGUCUUCUAUCUUCUUGAUCCACAGACAUUUAAACUGUCACAAAUGUGUGAUCACUUCAAUUGAGAUGAAAUGUGGUUGAUGCAUACACACACAAAAAUUCAAGACUCCUUGGUGAAUUAGUGACAGUCACAUUUUUAAGUGAAACAUCAGUGCUUUCUGGUACUAAGUAUUAAAUUUAAAAACCUCAGGGAUUGCUCAUUUACAGUAGGUAAUGCCCAUGAGCAUGGUGGAUUUUCAUGACCUGAAAUCAGAGGUUGACUUGUGUACUCUGCUGCAGCCAGCUCAACUUCUUUGCAGAAGCUAACAUCUGGGCAAAAAUUAGCAGAAGUAUCGGUUUCAAUUAAUAUUUUGUUUUACAACUCAACCCAAAUUGUCAGUGACAGAACUAGGCCUUAAGUGCUACAUGGGAAUUAGCUUUCCUAAAAAUUCAGCAACUGAACAGACCUGAGCAGAUGACCCACAACUCAUCUGUGAAAUACUCAGCUUGGGGAAAUAAUUUGUUUAACUGUGACCCAAAUAAUGAAGUAUACAGUGUUAGUUGUCAAUUAGUGCUGUACCACAGAGCAAGCAGAAUGUUAUGCAGAGCAAGAAGCUGCUUAUAAAGUAAUAGAGGUAUCUAUUAUGGGUUCUAACUAACCUCCCCAUCUUUUUUAAGGAUUUAAAUAUAACUCUUUCUUGUCAAAUCAUUUGAUGAACUCUAUUACUGAUGUUGGAAGGUGAUGACUGUCAGCCAAGAACUACAUUAGAGUCCAUAAUUGAAUUUCAAGAGUUGUCAAGAGCAGGCUAAUCAAAUACCUGCUACUAGAAGUAAAACAUUAAAGAAAGAAAAAAAAUUCAAGUUCUCUUCUGGCAGGAUGCAAAGUAUGUUGUAUAGUUUCCCUGUCAUUUCUAAUUGUACGUUCAAUUUUUCUCGGCUACCUUUGCCUGACAUUCUUCUCUUGUAUAAUAAUGAUUCAUUAUAUAUAAUGUAUUCAAUGACUGUAACUCACCUCUUAGUGCCCAAAAAUAUGACUGCAGCAGACAUUUGCAUUGUAAAACAAAAGCAUAACACCAGGGUUUAUGAAGGAUCCUUUUAUAUUAGUUUCUUGACAGGAAUGCUAGAUUUUUUUUUUUCUGAAGUAAAAUACUGACCCCAAAAUAAUCUUAAAAAUCUAGCACAGAAAACAAUUAACAGCUCUUCUUCCCUGUGCUUAGGAAUUUGAUAAUUUUAGGGAGAGCUGGGGGGAAAAAUAUUCCUUGGCCAUUUAAGGAGAGUGAAGAACUGCACUCACUGUACUGCACUCACUGUACUGAUCAUUAAACCCAUGGCCUGCAGUGUGGAAGUUUUAGCAGUGUUCAGGCUAUGUGAAGGGUGGGCUGUGGUCCAAAAAUACAGAAAUGCAGGCAGUGCUCCCAAACAGUGCUGAGUAAAAUGGAGAUGAUGCUCCCUGAGCCCUCAGUUAAAUAUAGUGGUUGUUCAUGACAGCAGGGAGUGCAACAGGAAGGCUGCCCUGAAUUAAUUUUUCCUACCUGCUAUUCCAUGCCUGUUCUUGGGCAAGGCAUUUAUUUUCUCCUCACUGCUUUUAUUCACCUUUUUUAUUCCUAAUUGCACCAGGACACUGGGGGGACAGACAGAACCAGGUAGUACCUUUGGUUCUGCCUUUAGCUGCUCUCAAAGGAAAUAUGAGCACAGCUAUACCUUCAGUUUCAUAGUUAUUUACACUUUAACACCACACAGCACUCCUGAGCUAAAUGGAAUCGAUUCUUUGCUGCUACUGUAUAACCUAGAGAACAACAGCAACAACAGUAACACCUGCAGGUUUGCAAAAUGUUUUAUUAUAGUAAAACACACCAUACACCGAGGAGAAUCAAUGGUUAUAUUUUAUCUGUCCCAUCAAAGCAAAAUACCUUUGUAAUAUUUCCCACUGGCUUAAAAAGGAAAUGCUAAUAGAAAUAAUUUCAUUAUUAAAAAUAUAUAAUGCUUUCUAUUUAUUUUGUUCUAUAUUAGAAAGGCAAAUAUUGAGAUGAUGAUAUGGCUUAAAUAUAUUAAAAUUUUUCCUCUGGGGAGCUUGUCUUCAUCUCUAGCUAGACCACACAUGGAAUGAGUUCAGGAAACUCUGCAUGACAGCAGGUAUCAACCCACAUUAGGUGUAAAUUUGGUAUCUUCAACCAGAGUGUCUGAGUUUGACAAGAAGAAGAAGAAAAGUCUUGGAUACCUAUUCUACAAAGUUUUUCUUCUCCUGCAUAUUAAAAUGUCUCCAGUAUAUUUUCUUCCUAUUUUUUUUCCUCUAGAUAAUGACAAAUUUGUCUUCCCUUGUUUUAACCAUCACAUGGUAAAGAACAGACCACCACCUUAUCACACAAACUCAUUUUAGCUUAGUGGAAUUAAUCACCAUGGCUGGUUCUUAAAAAUUCUGGGAGAAGUGAAGGAAUGGGAGAGAAAGAGUGACUCCAGAGAGCAAUUCAGAUUUCCACCAUUAACACACCUGCACUGAAUUACCCCCUGGAGAAGCCCCUCUCUCUCUCCACUAGCUACACUAAAAACCCAGGAAGAC